UUUCCGUAGGUGAACCUGCGGAAGGAUCAUUACCGAGCUCCUGCCCUCUGGGUAGAUCUCCCACCCGUGCAUACCUACCUUUGUUGCUUUGGCGGGCCGCCGCGGCUGCGGGCCCCGGCUCGCAAGCGCCCGCCAGAGGACCCGAACCCUGAAGCACCGUGUCGUCCGAGUACUAGCGAAUAGUGGAAAACUUUUAACAACGGAUCUCUUGGUUCUGGCAUCGAUGAAGAACGCAGCGAAAUGCGAUAAGUAAUGUGAAUUGCAGAAUUCAGUGAAUCAUCGAAUCUUUGAACGCACAUUGCGCCCCCUGGCAUUCCGGGGGGCAUGCCUGUUCGAGCGUCAUUUCAACCCCUCAAGCCCCGCUUGGUGUUGGAGCCUGCCGCCGGGCAGCUCCUAAAAUCAGUGGCGGUGCCGCCCGGCUCUACGCGUAGUAAUGCUCUCGCGAUAGGGUCCGGACGGUGCCUCGCCAGCGACCCCCGACCUCCUAUGGUUGACCUCGGAUCAGGUAGGGAUACCCGCUGA
rnacentral:rRNA from 1 species